UACGUAGGGUGCAAGCGUUGUCCGGAAUUAUUGGGCGUACAGAGCUCGUAGGCGGUUCGUCGCGUCGGCUGUGAAAACCCGGGGCUCAACCCCGGGCCUGCAUUCGAUACGGGCAGACUAGAGUUCGGUAGGGGAGUCUGGAAUUCCUGGUGUAGCGGUGAAAUGCGCAGAUAUCAGGAGGAACACCGGUGGCGAAGGCGGGACUCUGGGCCGAUACUGACGCUGAGGAGCGAAAGCGUGGGGAGCAAACAGG
rnacentral:rRNA from 1 species